rnacentral:rRNA from 1 species
GAUGAACGCUGGCGGCGUGCCUAAUACAUGCAAGUCGAGCGAACAGACGAGGAGCUUGCCCCUCUGACGUUAGCGGCGGACGGGUGAGUAACACGUGGAUAACCUACCUAUAAGACUGGGAUAACUUCGGGAAACCGGAGCUAAUACCGGAUAAUAUAUUGAACCGCAUGGUUCAAUAGUGAAAGACGGUUUUGCUGUCACUUAUAGAUGGAACCGCGCCGCAUUAGCUAGUUGGUAAGGUAACGGCUUACCAAGGCAACGAUGCGUAGCCGACCUGAGAGGGUGAUCAGCCACACUGGAACUGAGACACGGUCCAGACUCCUACGGGAGGCAGCAGUAGGGAAUCUUCCGCAAUGGGCGAAAGCCUGACGGAGCAACGCCGCGUGAGUGAUGAAGGUCUUCGGAUCGUAAAACUCUGUUAUUAGGGAAGAACAAAUGUGUAAGUAACUAUGCACGUCUUGACGGUACCUAAUCAGAAAGCCACGGCUAACUACGUG